AGUGCAAUCGCUGGAUCAUAUGGUAACUGCAUGUUUAAUUUUUAAAGAAAUCGCCAAACUGUUUUCCAGAGUGGCUGUACCAUUUUACGUUCCCACCAGCAAU
rnacentral:pre_miRNA from 1 species